rnacentral:rRNA from 1 species
CAGCAGCCGCGGUAAUGCGUAGGGUGCAAGCGUUAAUCGGAAUUACUGGGCGUAAAGCGUGCGCAGGCGGUUUGUUAAGACAGAUGUGAAAUCCCCGGGCUUAACCUGGGAACUGCAUUUGUGACUGGCGAGCUAGAGUAUGGCAGAGGGGGGUAGAAUUCCACGUGUAGCAGUGAAAUGCGUAGAGAUGUGGAGGAAUACCGAUGGCGAAGGCAGCCCCCUGGGCCAAUACUGACGCUCAUGCACGAAAGCGUGGGGAGCAAACAGGAUUAGAGACCCCUGUAGUCCCUGUCUCUUAUAC